AUUGAACGCUGGCGGAAUGCUUUACACAUGCAAGUCGAACGGCAGCACGGGGGCAACCCUGGUGGCGAGUGGCGAACGGGUGAGUAAUGUAUCGGAACGUACCCAGUCGUGGGGGAUAACUAUCCGAAAGGAUAGCUAAUACCGCAUACGUCCUGAGGGAGAAAGCGGGGGAUCGCAAGACCUCGCGCGAUUGGAGCGGCCGAUAUCGGAUUAGCUAGUUGGUGAGGUAAGGGCUCACCAAGGCGACGAUCCGUAGCGGGUCUGAGAGGACGACCCGCCACACUGGAACUGAGACACGGUCCAGACUCCUACGGGGGGCAGCAGUGGGGAAUUUUGGACAAUGGGGGAAACCCUGAUCCAGCCAUUCCGCGUGAGUGAAGAAGGCCUUCGGGUUGUAAAGCUCUUUCAGCAGGAACGAAACGGUCGGCUUUAAUAAAGUCGGCUAAUGACGGUACCUGCAGAAGAAGCACCGGCUAACUACGUGC
rnacentral:rRNA from 1 species